CUCUCCUGCGAAAAAAAUUUGCCUGUUUUAGUUUAUUUUCCAGAGCUUUUUGGGAGUUUUUGCAGCGAGAACAGAAGAGGUGGAAUUUUCAUUUCCUCUAUUUCACAUCUGGCUUUGGAGACAUGAUGUAGCUCUCAAAAUUAGUAUUCUUUACAGUAGAAAAGGAUUGCUAUGAUCUUAAUCAGUGACUUUUUUGAAGAAUGAGAGAGUGAUGUCAAGCAGCUUUUGAAAUGAUUAUCAAGUGGACC